AAAUAGAGUGGAAUAGACGACGAGCCACGUGUAAGAUUGUUGCAAUCCCAUUGGUCAAGUGACGCUACACAUAAAAAGUCAGUACAGUUCAUAUUCACGCGGUUAUUCUUCUUUUUUUUUCAACCUAGUUACUCUUUUCCUUAACCACCAAGACAACACAAAACCCUACUCUUCAUAUUCAUAUAACUGAUUUUCCCUUUCUUUUUUUUCAUGUAUCACCUUCACUAAUUCCAUUCAAUAAUUAAUUCACCAUCAUCAUCUUCUUCUUCAUGGAAGACCAAAUCGAUUGGGAUUUUUUCUUCGAUCAGUUACCAGACUUUGAACAAGUCGCCGAUUUUUUAC
rnacentral:lncRNA from 1 species